rnacentral:rRNA from 1 species
AACGUAGGUGGCAAGCGUUAUCCGGAAUUACUGGGCGUAAAGGGUGUGCAGGCGGGGAAGCAAGGGGUGUGUGAAAUCUCCAGGCUUAACCUGGAGGGGUUAUGCCAGACUGCAUCUCUAGAGGACGAGAGAGGGGGGUGGAAUUCCGGGUGUAGUGGUGAAAUGCGUAGAGAUCCGCAGGAACCCCAGAGGCGAAGGCGGCCCCCUGGCUCGUACCUGACGCUCAGCCACGAAAGCAUGGGGAGCGAACGGG